rnacentral:rRNA from 1 species
GACGAACGCUGGCGGCGUGCUUAACACAUGCAAGUCGAACGGAAAGGCCCUGCUUUUGUUGGGUGCUCGAGUGGCGAACGGGUGAGUAACACGUGAGUAACCUGCCCUUGACUUUGGGAUAACUUCAGGAAACUGGGGCUAAUACCGGAUAGGAGCUCCUGCUGCAUGGUGGGGGUUGGAAAGUUUCGGCGGUUGGGGAUGGACUCGCGGCUUAUCAGCUUGUUGGUGGGGUAGUGGCUUACCAAGGCUUUGACGGGUAGCCGGCCUGAGAGGGUGACCGGCCACAUUGGGACUGAGAUACGGCCCAGACUCCUACGGGAGGCAGAAGUGGGGAAUAUUGCACAAUGGGCGGAAGCCUGAUGCAGCAACGCCGCGUGCGGGAUGAAGGCCUUCGGGUUGUAAACCGCUUUCGCCUGUGACGAAGCGUGAGUGACGGUAAUGGGUAAAGAAGCACCGGCUAACUACGUG